rnacentral:rRNA from 1 species
AACGAACGCUGGCGGCGCGUCUUAAGCAUGCAAGUCGAACGGCAAGAUUGGUGCUUGCACCGAUCCUAGAGUGGCGGACUGGUGAGUAACGCGUGGGUGACGUACCCUAAGGAUGGGGAUAGCUGGUAGAAAUAUCAGAUAAUACCGAAUAUCCUUAUUGUUGUUAGAGGACAGUAAGGAAAGGAGCUUUGGCUUCGCCUAAGGAUCGGCCCGCGUACUAUUAGCUAGUUGGUGAGGUAACGGCUCACCAAGGCGACGAUAGUUAUCCGGCCUAAGAGGGUGAACGGACACAUUGGGACUGAGAUACGGCCCAGACUCCUACGGGAGGCAGCAGCUAAGAAUAUUCCGCAGUGGAGGAAACUCUGACGGAGCGACGCCGCGUGGAUGAUGAAGGCCGGAAGGUUGUAAAAUCCUUUUAAGCAAGAAGAAUAAACUUUACAGGGAAUGGUAGAGUGGUGACGGUAUUGCUUGAAUAAGCAACGGCUAAUUACGUGCCAGCAGCCGCAGUAAUAC